rnacentral:misc_RNA from 1 species
GAACUGCGAUAAGUAGUGUGAAUUGCAGAAUUCAGUGAAUCAUCAAACCCUUGAACGUACAUGGCGCCUUGUGGCAACGCAAGGCACGCCUGUUUGAGCCUCGGUAUUCAACCUCGCAACCACCCAGGUGGCGGCGGAACUUGGGGAUUGCCUGUUGCAGGGCAUUCCCUCAAACAAAGCUGCAGGGUCGGCAAAGGACAAGGCUCCCGAAACCGAAUCGAUCAACCAGCUUCUUGAUGGCCCAAGGCCUCUCUUGGCAGGCUCGAUUCGUUCUCUUCGUUGGCUUCCCUUGUUUUUCCUGCAAGACGUUACCUCGUCCUCUCUCUUCGGAGAGGGCAGAGGUUACCUUUUCAAUUUUCGAGCUCAAAUCAGGCGAGACUACCCGCUGAAUUUAA